rnacentral:rRNA from 1 species
AUGGCCUCCACAAACAGCUGGACCCACGAGAUCGAGUCGUUGGUCGCGGCACCGCGCUUGUUCCGUGCCGGCGUCAUGGACUGGCACACUCUGGCACCCAAGCUCGCACCCCACAUCGUCGCCAGCGCCCACCCCGUUGAGGGCGAAGGCGGCAUCGGCAGCGUCAGGCAGUUCAACUUCACCUCAGCCAUGCCCUUUACCCUCAUGGAGAGGCUCGAGUUCCUGGACGAGGAGAAGUGCGAGUGCAAGUCGACCCUCAUCGAGGGCGGUGGCAUCGGCACGGCCAUCGAGACUGCAACGUCGCGCAUCAAGGUGGAGCCGGCGGUCAACGGAGGGAGCUUGGUGAAGGUGAACUCGACGUACAAGCUGCUGCCAGGCGUGGAGGUGAAUGACGAAAUAACCAAGGCCAAGGAAUCAGUCACUGCCAUCUUUAAGGCCGCUGAGGCCUACCUCAUCGCCAACCCCGAUGCCUACAACUGA